rfam:Stegodyphus mimosarum contig92474, whole genome shotgun sequence.
GCCUUCAUGGUGUAGUGGUCAGCACGCUCGACGCGUAACCGAGAGGUCCGUGGUUCGAUUCCCGGCGAAGGCG